rnacentral:rRNA from 1 species
GAUGAACGCUAGCUACAGGCUUAACACAUGCAAGUCGAGGGGUAACAAGAGAAAAGCUUGCUUUUCUUGUUGACGACCGGCGCACGGGUGAGUAACGCGUAUCCAACCUGCCUAUAACUAGGGAAUAACCUUGCGAAAGUAAGACUAAUACCCUAUGAUUUCCUUUGAUGACAUCAGAUUAGGAAUAAAGAUUUAUCGGUUAUAGAUGGGGAUGCGUCUGAUUAGCUUGUUGGCGGGGUAACGGCCCACCAAGGCAACGAUCAGUAGGGGUUCUGGGAGGAAGGUCCCCCACAUUGGAACUGAGACACGGACCAAACUCAUACGGGAGGCAGCAGUGAGGAAUAUUGGUCAAUGGGCGGAAGCCUGAACCAGCCAAGUAGCGUGCAGGAUGACGGCCCUAUGGGUUGUAAACUGCUUUUAUACAGGAAUAAAGUUAGCCACGUGUGGUUAUUUGUAGGUACUGUAUGAAUAAGGACCGGCUAAUUCCGUGCCAGCCGCCGCCGUAA